rnacentral:rRNA from 1 species
GUGAAUCAUCGAAUCUUUGAACGCACCUUGCGCUCCUUGGUAUUCCGAGGAGCAUGCCUGUUUGAGUGUCAUUAAUAUGUCAACCUCUUCAAGCUUUUGCCUGUUGAGUGUUGGAUGUGGGGGUCUUUUUUGCUGGCUUCUCUUUCUGAGGUCAGCUCCCCUGAAAUGCAUUAGCGGGAACAAUUUGUUGAUCGUUCGAUUGGUUGUGAUAAUUUAUCUACGCUAUUGACGUUAAGCAGUUCAGCUUCUAACUAGUCCAUUGACUUUGGACAAAUUUUCAUUAAUGUGACCUCAAAUUCAGGUAGGAAUACCCGCUGAACUUAAGCAUAUCAAUAAGCGGAGG